GACGAACGCUGGCGGCGUGCCUAAUACAUGCAGGUAGAACGCUGAAGGAGGAGCUUGCUUCUCUGGAUGAGUUGCGCAGGGGUGAGUAACGCGUAGGUAACCUGCCUCGUAGCGGGGGAUAACACUUGGAAACGAUAGCUAUUACCGCAUAAUAUUGACUAUUGCAUGAUAGUCAGUUGAAAGGUGCAACUGCACUACUACCUGAUGGAGCUGCGUUGUAUUAGCUAGUUUGUGGAGUAACGGCUCAACAAGGGGAAGAUACAUAGCCGACCUGAGAGGGGGGUCGGCCACACUGGGACUGGGACACGGCCCAGACUCCUACGGGAGGCAGCAGUAGGGAAUCUUCGGCAAUGGGCGGAAGUCUGACCGGAGCACGCCGCGGGAGUGAAGGAGGUUUUCGGAUCGUAAAGCUCUGUUGUAAGGGAAGAACGAGUGUUGGAGUGGAAAGCUCACACUGUGACGGUAUCUUACCAGAAAGGGACGGCUAACUACGUG
rnacentral:rRNA from 1 species